rnacentral:rRNA from 1 species
GACGAACGCUGGCGGCGUGCUUAACACAUGCAAGUCGAACGAAGUGGCGAACGGGUGAGUAACGCGUAAUCAACCUGCCCUUCAGAGGGGGACAACAGUUUGAAACGACUGCUAAUACCGCAUACUGAAGGCGGGGAUUGCGUCUGAUUAGCUAGUUGGAGGGGUAACGGCCCAACAAGGCGAUGGUCAGUAGCCGUACUAGGAGGAUGAACGGACACAUUGGGAAUGGGAAACGGCCCAGACUCCUACGGGAGGCAGCAGUGGGGAAUCUUCCGCAAUGGACGGAAGUCUGACGGAGCAACGCCGCGUGAGUGAUGACGGGCUUAGGGUUGUAAAGCUCUGUUAAUCGGGACGCGGUACCGGAAUAGAAAGCCACGGCUAACUACGUGCAAGCAGCCGCGGUAAUUA